AUGAACGCUGGCGGCGUGCCUAAUACAUGCAAGUCGAGCGAACAGACGAGGAGCUUACUCCUCUGACGUUAGCGGCGGCCGGGUGAGUAACACGUGGAUAACCUACCUAUAAGACUGGGAUAACUUCGGGAAACCGGAGCUAAUACCGGAUAACAUGUUGAACCGCAUGGUUCAACAGUGAAAGACGGUCUUGCUGUCACUUAUAGAUGGAUCCGCGUCGCAUUAGCUAGUUGGUAAGGUAACGGCUUACCAAGGCAACGAUGCGUAGCCGACCUGAGAGGGUGAUCGGCCACACUGGAACUGGGACACGGUCCAGACUCCUACGGGAGGCAGCAGUAGGGAAUCUUCCGCAAUGGGCGAAAGCCUGACGGAGCAACGCCGCGUGAGUGAAGAAGGUCUUCGGAUCGUAAAACUCUGUUAUUAGGGAAGAACAAAUGUGUAAGUAACUAUGCACGUCUUGACGGUACCUAAUCAGAAAGCCACGGCUAACUACGUG
rnacentral:rRNA from 1 species